GCUAGCUACAGGCUUAACACAUGCAAGUCGAGGGGCAGCAUGGUCUUAGCUUGCUAAGGCCGAUGGCGACCGGCGCACGGGUGAGUAACACGUAUCCAACCUGCCGUCUACUCUUGGACAGCCUUCUGAAAGGAAGAUUAAUACAAGAUGGCAUCAUGAGUCCGCAUGUUCACAUGAUUAAAGGUAUUCCGGUAGACGAUGGGAAUGCGUUCCAUUAGAUAGUAGGCGGGGUAACGGCCCACCUAGUCUUCGAUGGAUAGGGGUUCUGAGAGGAAGGUCCCCCACAUUGGAACUGAGACACGGUCCAAACUCCUACGGGUGGCAGCAGUGAGGAAUAUUGGUCAAUGGGCGAGAGCCUGAACCAGCCAAGUAGCGUGAAGGAUGACUGCCCUAUGGGUUGUAAACUUCUUUUAUAAAGGAAUAAAGUCGGGUAUGGAUACCCGUUUGCAUGUACUUUAUGAAUAAGGAUCGGCUAACUCCGUGCCAGCAGCCGCGGUAAUACGGAGGAUCCGAGCGUUAUCCGGAUUUAUUGGGUUUAAAGGGAGCGUAGAUGGAUGUUUAAGUCAGUUGUGAAAGUUUGCGGCUCAACCGUAAAAUUGCAGUUGAUACUGGAUAUCUUGAGUGCAGUUGAGGCAGGCGGAAUUCGUGGUGUAGCGGUGAAAUGCUUAGAUAUCACGAAGAACCCCGAUUGCGAAG
rnacentral:rRNA from 1 species